rnacentral:rRNA from 1 species
GACGAACGCUGGCGGCGUGCCUAAUACAUGCAAGUCGUGCGGACCUUGUUGAAAGCUUGCUUUUAAAAGGUUAGCGGCGGACGGGUGAGUAACACGUUGGCAACCUGCCUGUAAGACUGGGAUAACGCCGGGAAACCGGGGCUAAUACCAGAUCGUUUUUUCCUCCGCAUGGAGGAAAAAGGAAAGGCGGCUUCGGCUGCCACUUACAGAUGGGCCCGCGGCGCAUUAGCUAGUUGGCGGGGUAAUGGCCCACCAAGGCAACGAUGCGUAGCCGAACGGAGAGGGUGAUCGGCCACAUUGGGACUGAGACACGGCACAAACUCCUACGGGAGGCAGCAGUAGGGAAUCUUCCGCAAUGGACGAAAGUCUGACGGAGCAACGCCGCGUAAGUGAAGAAGGCCUUCGGGUCGUAAAACUCUGUUGCCGGGGAAGAACAAGUGCCGUUCGAACAGGGCGGCGCCUUGACGGUACCCGGCCAGAAAGCCACGGCUAACUACGUG